AGAGAAGUCUCUCAGAAAGAAGCCUCUGUUAGGCAACUGUAGAAUGUUUUACCUCAUUAAUAUAGACUUUGCUGGACUCCUACACUUUAAAGAGUGUGCAGUAUAUUGCGACUCAACAUUGCAGUGACCCUACAGAUGUAAAAGAAGUACUGUAGGAUCCACCAGCCAUGAUCAACAGUGAAACAGAACCAGGACAGGGUUUUGUUUAUUCCCCCACCUAAAACUCUGGAGUCCUAGCUCCUCUGCAGCCACAGGAUGGAGAUGGGCUCCCCUUUUGAUCAGCGAAGCAAGAGGGACACCAAGACACCACGCCAGAUGUGGGAGAUGUCUGGCAUGGAUGUGCGAAGCACCAAGUCAGCAGGAAGUGAGGCCGAGAGCUGACUCUAAAGGAUUCCCCCCACUACAGACCUCCAGGAUAUGUAUUGGACCUGUCGUAGCAAGAGACUGGCUCAAAACCCCCAAGUACCACCAAGCCUCCAAGGAACCAAAUUGAUGGCCAUAAAAAUUCUGACUGAUUCCUGAACCACAGAAGAGAAGAAGCUCAGAAACCUGGAGGAACACUUCAAAGACAUUCCAUUCAGAAACAAAGGAACUCUGGACUCACCUCAAAGCUAACAAAGACAAUCAUCCCCCAAUUCUGGACAAAACUCCUUUUAUGUACAUCCAUUUCACCAAACAAGUGAACUUUUCAAUGACUUUGUGAUUAAUCUACCUCUUGCCUUACUUUUAAUAUUUUAUUCCUCCUGAUUACUAUCAAUGUCAUAAUUUUAACCUGUCUGCUGAUCACAUAUGAGCAUGUUUGGUACCAUUUUAAUCAGCUAUCUGUCAGUAAUGCUCCUAGAUAAACCAUAUUCACCAAAUUUCAAUAUUUUGGAAAGUUACAGAAAUUUCCUGAAAAUGUAACUCACUUCCUGUUGGGUUUGGAAUAUGGCUGUCACUGACUUUUUUGUUCAGCCUGAUGUGCUGCAUAUGUGUACCAAAUUUGGUAGAUACACCCCCUGUCAAAAGUUGUAGGACAGGUUCUACUUUAGAGAAAGUGUUCUAAAACUUUUAACGGGGUGUACAUACAGAGCUCUGACUGAAUGCUAGCAAUAUUUAACUGUUCUUUUCUGCUAAUAAAGUCUAUUAACCCUUACAA